CCGGUUGAGGAACCUGCCUUCCAGAGGGGGGACAACAGUUGGAAACGACUGCUAAUACCGCAUGAUGCAUUGAAGUCGCAUGGCUUUGAUGUCAAAGAUUUAUCGCUGGAAGAUGGCCUCGCGUCUGAUUAGCUAGUUGGUGAGGUAACGGCCCACCAAGGCGACGAUCAGUAGCCGGACUGAGAGGUUGGCCGGCCACAUUGGGACUGAGAUACGGCCCAGACUCCUACGGAAGGCAGCAG
rnacentral:rRNA from 1 species